rnacentral:rRNA from 1 species
CCUGCCCUGAAGCGGGGGACAACAACUUGAAAGAGUUGCUAAUACCGCAUGUGAAUUGCUAUGGCAUCAUGGCGUAUUCAAAGCCGCAAGGCACUUCAGGAUGGGCCCGCGGCCUAUCAGCUAGUUGGUGAGGUAAUGGCCCACCAAGGCUUCGACGGGUAGCUGGCCUGAGAGGACGAUCAGCCGGAUUGGGACUGAGAUACGGCCCAG